CCUUGUUCAGGUUCUCUAGCUUAGCUAUAAAGUUGUUAAAUAGUACAAAGAUAAAUAACAAUGUAACAAACAGUAUCGUAAUAAUACAAAACGUUGUAUGUUUAUAUUAGACGUGGCAUAAUGCUGUGCGGUGUUAAAAGUAUACUCUCAAUCCUUGCAACAUUUUAACAAAAUAAGGGAACUGAAGCCUGCAAAUGUCCAAUAAUUAGUAAGCGGCAAAUCCGAUGCUGAAUCAUAGAGCAUUCCUACUGUGAGCAGAACUGUUGUUAAAGAGAAGUAAUGACAAUUUCCUAUCUCGAUGGAAAUAUUAGGAACCUUUAGUUCCUUUUUCUUGUUUCAACGUUAAACAAUUUUUUGUGAGUUUUAAUUUGAUAUUGUGGUCAACAUUUCCCUGAAAGAAGGAUUACCAUAAAGAAUUAUUCAGCCAGAUGAAUCUGCCAAUGUAAACUUAGAUGGCAUUCAUUGCAUACUAUAAAUAGCUGGGCAAAUUGGCUCACACCUGUGACCUCAAUACUCAGGAGGCUGAGGCAGGAGAGCCUGAACACAACGUGAGACCCUAUCUCAACGCAAAAGACAAAGCCACGUUUUUAUCAAGCAUAGGUACCAUAUAAUCAAGUGAAUGGACCCAGAAAAUGCAAGAUUGGAACCUGAACAUUGCAGAUUUCCAUUAUGCCUCUCUUUGAUUUCCCAUUGUUGUGUCUGGUGGGCCUGGGGUCACCAGCCCACCCUUAAAACUUUUCCCAGCUUGUCUCUCACUAAUAUAGAAGGGGGAAGAUGAGUCAGACCAGUACAAAGGAAAGUAAACCACCCACCCAGUGUGAGAGAACUCACUGCAUUCAAAGCAGAAUCAACCUUCAAUAUUGAAGAUUUCAGAUUUGGAGAAUCAAAUACAUAUCUUACUGUGGAUGAAUAGCCUGAGUGACAGCUGCUUUGAAGGCAGCCCCUUGCACAUACGGGGAGCUCAUAUCUGCACAAAUCCAAAGACAUGUUAUUUGCCUUGCAUCAUUGGGAGCUUGAACUUCAGUAACAGGGUAUAUAUGUCUAAAGAUGGAAUUUGAGAGGAAACCUCUCUGGUGGGACAAGGUCCUUUUGUGCCCCACCACUCCUUUUCUUUUAAAUUGAAUGAGGCUAGAGGGCUUAAGCUCUAUAGGCAAUACCCUUGCUCUGCCCUCCCCUGCUCAUGCUCGGGGUUUGAUGUUAAAAUAAUGUUCUGAGCCAAAUACUUUAUGGUUCUAAAACCUUUUCUUAUGAAUACCCCCCAAAUAAAAGUAAAUACAGG